rnacentral:tRNA from 2 species
GCCUCCUUAGCUCAGUUGGCCAGAGCGACGCUCUUGUAAAGCGUAGGUCGUCGGUUCGAACCCGACAGGGGGCUCCA